GACGAACGCUGGCGGCGUGCUUAACACAUGCAAGUCGAACGGAAAGGCCCUGCGUUUGUGGGGUGCUCGAGUGGCGAACGGGUGAGUAACACGAGAGUAACCUGCCCUUGACUUUGGGAUAGCUUCAGGAAACUGGGGCUAAUACCGGAUAGGCGCUCCUGCUGCAUUGUGGGGGUUGGAAAGUUUCGGCGGUUGGGGAUGGACUCGCGGCUUAUCAGCUUGUUGGUGGGGUAGUGGCUUACCAAGGCGUUGACGGGUAGCCGGCCUGAGAGGGUGACCGGCCACAUUGGGACUGAGAUACGGCCCAGACUCCUACGGGAGGCAGCAGUGGGGAAUAUUGCACAAUGGGCGGAAGCCUGAUGCAGCAACGCCGCGUGCGGGAUGACGGCCUUCGGGUUGUAAACCGCUUUCGCCUGUGACGAAGCGUGAGUGACGGUAAUGGGUAAAGAAGCACCGGCUAACUACGUG
rnacentral:rRNA from 1 species